GGAAUAUGAAAGAUCAAAUGAAAGCUGCUAACUUUUUAUUUUAAUGGUUUAAACCCAUUAAUAUUCCU
rnacentral:tRNA from 1 species